rnacentral:lncRNA from 13 species
GGGAGGGUCUUGGUGGGCAUCUGUCCGCGGGGGCGGCUCUGGCGCAGGACGUGGACCGCACUCCACCAUAGUCUUGGCCCACUGAAGUGGCGCCUUUGGAGCGGCGACCCUCGCCGCCGACCUCGGACGGGGGACCCUUGCAGCGGGCCCCGAAUAGACGGGAGACUCCGGCAGCGCCGGAGUGAAGGGCGACUCUGGCGGUGCCGGACUGAAGGGCGACUCUGGCGGUGCCGGACUGAAGGGCGGCUUUGGCAGCUCCGGAGUGAAGGGCGGCUCUGGCAGCUCCUGACUGACGGGCGGCUCUGGCAGCUCCUGACUGACAGGCGGCUCUGGCAGCGCCGGACUGGUGGGAGACUCCGGCAGCGCCAGAGUGAAGGGCGACUCCGGCUACGCCGGAGUGCAGGGCGGCUUUGGCAGCUCCGGAGUGAAGGGCGGCUCUGGCAGCUCCUGACUGACGGGUGGCUCUGGCAGCUCCUGCCAGACUGGAGAACCUGGAGGGAGGAGACGGAGAGACAGCCUGGUGCGUGGGGCUGCCACAGGACCCACCAGGCUGGGGAGACCUACAGGAGGCCUGGUGCGUGGAGGAGGCACCGGAUGGACCGGGUUGGGGAGGAGCACUGGAGAUCUGGUGCGCAGCCUUGGCACCACUCCUCCAGGCUGGAUGACCACUUUAGCCCGGACCCUCCAAAGUGCAGGCACAGGUUGAACCGGGCUGUGGGUGAGCACUGGAGAUCUGGUGCUUACCACUCGCACCUCUCCCUUAGGCUCAAUGCCCACAUUUGCCCGGCACGGGCGGAGGUCAGGCAUAGCGCGCACUGCACCCUCCCAGCGCCCCGGGGACACAGCACGCAGCGCCGGCACAGGAUACCCUGGGCCGAAACGGUGUACCAGAGACCAAACACGCUGGGCCGGCACAAUACUCCCUGGCUGGAUGCCCACUCUCGCAUGGCACUUGCGAGGGGCUGGGAUGUAGCGCACCGGGCUAAGAACGCGCACUGGAGACACUGUGCGCUUGACCGCAUAACACGGUGCCUGACCAGUACGAUGCCCGCCACGGUAAGCACGGGGAGUUGGCUCAGGUGUCCAACCUGA